rnacentral:rRNA from 1 species
AUUGAACGCUGGAGGCGGGCCUAACACAUGCAAGUCGAACGAGUGGCGGACGGGUGAGUAAUGUCUGGGAAACUGCCUGAUGGCGGGGGAUAACUACUGGAACCGGUAGCUAAUACCGCAUACCAUCAGCUGUGCCCAGCUGGGAUUAGAUAGUUGGUGGGGUAACGGCUCACCAAGGCGACGAUCCCUAGCUGGUCUGAGAAGAUGACCAGCCACACUGGAACGGAGACACGGUCCAGACUCCUACGGGAGGCAGAAGUGGGGAAUAUGGCACAAUGGGCGAAAGCCUGAUGCAGCCAUGCCGCGUGUAUGAAGAAGGCCUUCGGGUUGUAAAGUACUUUCAGCGGGGAGGCGGUACCCGCAGAAGAAGCACCGGCUAACUCCGUGCCAGCAGCCGCGGUAAUUC